AAUCUAUGAUGUGGGAACUUUCUAAGAAACUACUUAAACCUUUCCCAAGCUUCAUAGAUAGAUUCCCUAUCUACAUGAGUGAGAGUUUUGAUAUUCUUCCUAAGCUU